rnacentral:lncRNA from 1 species
AAGGUCGUCACAGCUGGCUAACGUGUUUGAUAGAAGGCCAAAAAUCUCAUGUCAAAGAAUAUGUAUCCAAGAUUAGAACUCAGUACGAGUUGAAUCCGGAUUCUCCUCGACUUGCUGGGUUCAUUUUCGAUACUUUUGCUACUGGGAUGAAAGAUGUGCCUAAUGAAUUUGGAGUUCCAUGGUAUGUUUUUUCUGCUUCAGGUGCAGCUUUUAUUGGCAGCAUGAUGCAUCUUACUGCUCUUCAUGAUGAGCAGGGAGUUGACCUUACCGAGUUGAAGAACUCAGAGGAUGAAUUGGAAAUUCCGUGUUUGGCGAAUCCAAUUCCUGCUAAACUUGUGCCUUCCUCGGUGUUCGAGAAAGACUCACUGACUAUUUUUCUUGAACAUGCUCGGAUAUUGACUGAGGCUAGGGGUAUUUUGAUCAAUACAUUUUUAGAGUUCGAAUCCUAUGCAAUUAACUCUCUGUCAGAUGGUAAAACCCCUCCCGUGUACCCGGUUGGUCCCAUUGUGAAACAUGUAGGAGGUGGCGGUGAUCUGCGGUCGGAUGAGAGCAACAAUUAUAGGGACAUCAUGGAAUGGCUUGAUGAUCAACCUCCGUCAUCGGUUAUGUUCUUAUGCUUUGGAAGUUGGGGAAGCUUCAAAGAGAAACAAGUGAAAGAGAUUGCAAUUGCACUUGAGCAUAGCGGGCAUCGGUUCUUAUGGUCUCUACGCAAACCUUCACAGAACGGUAAAAAGCAAUCUCCGAGUGAUUAUGAAGAUUUUCAAGGUAUUUUACCUGAAGGUUUCUUAGAUCGAACAGCUAUGAUUGGGAAGGUAAUUGGAUGGGCUCCACAAGUGGAAAUCUUGUCUCAUUCAGCCGUCGGAGGAUUUGCAUCACAUUGUGGAUGGAAUUCUACACUAGAAAGUGUAAGAUUUGGUGUUCCAGUUGCCACUUGGCCAUUAUAUGCAGAGCAACAAUUUAAUGCUUUUCAAAUGGUAAUUGAGCUAGGAUUAGCCGUGGAAAUUAAAAUGGAAUAUUGGAAGGAUUUUUAUGGCGAUACUGAAAUAAUUGUGAGCAGUGAUGAUAUAUUGAAAGCUAUAAAGAGUGUUAUGGAAGAAGAUAGUGAGGUCAGAAAGAAGGUAAAGGAGAUGAGUAGAAUAAGUGAAAAAACCUUGGUGGAUGGAGGAUCUUCAUUUUCUUCAUUAGGUCGUCUAAUUGAAGAUAUGACGGAAAACAUGUCAUGAAUCAAUUGUUUUGAACUUCCCUCUGAGCAAUCUCUAAGAAAAAAAUGGAAUAGUUUUCCAUUGUUUUUGCUUAUGAUUCUAUAUAAUGGUAGCAAUUUAUGUAUUAAGAAUGAUUGUCAUGGUCAAUUAAUCAAUAAAUGUAUUUUCCUUAGAAAACAGUUUUUUUUCCCUUCAGUUUUGUGUGCAUCUAAAAACAAAUUCUCAAAUACUUAAUUCCAAAUAAAUUGAAAUGGGUGACAAUACUCCCAUCAGCUACAAUCACUUGAAUAAAGGUAUUGUUUGAUAAAGUUAAAAGUGUUUUUUAAAGUGUAUUAAGGAAAGAGACCACAUAUAUGUAAAUACAUUAUAUAGAGAUAUGUAAACAGGUUAAUAUUACCUUGUGUUUAAUUUUUAUCAAAUAAAUAAAGAUGGUGAGAUUCAAACUCGUGACUACUUGGUCAUCAAGGUUCCGCUUGGUGAUCAAGGUUCUGAUACCAUGUCAAAGAACCAUCUCAACCCAAUAGCUUAAGAUGUUAUGUGAGGUCCCAAGAUAUGAUUUAUAUUAUUCUCUAACACAUCCCCUCAAGUGAAAGCCCUUUGAGCUUGAAACUUGCACAGACCCAUAUUACCUUGUGUUUAAUUUUUAUCAAAUAAAUGAGGAUGGUGAGAUUCAAACUCGUGAUUGCUUAGUUAUCAAAGUUCUGAUACCAUGUCAAAGAACCAUCUCAACCCAAUAGUUUAACCUGUUAGGUGAGAUCUCAGGAUAUGAUUUAUAUUAUUCUCUAACAGAGGAAUGUACUACAUAUCAUACCUAUUCCUAUAUAAUGUAUUUACAUUUAUGCGGUCUCUUUCCUUAAUAAAGUGUAUUUGAAACAUAAAAAUAUUGAAAUGACUUCUUUUUUUUUAAUGCUUUUAAAUAGUUUCGAUGUUUCUAAAUGGUUUUAAUAUAAAAAUAUUGAAAAAUCAUUCAAUUAAUAUUUUUUAAAUUAAAGCAAAAACACAUACAAUACAUUACUAACAAUGCACACACUGAAUAAUAUAUAACAAUGUGAGAUUAAUAAUAAAAACUGUAGUAUGUGAACAUGUAUUUAUUCUGCAGAGAUUAAGCAGUCCAAAAGAGUGUUCGUAGUCCAAAUAUAAGAUUUUUAUGUAGAAGUUUCCUUUUAUAAUUUUAAAGUUAUGAUUUUUAAUGUAGGAGUUUUUUUUUGAAAAAAAGUAAAUAUGUUUUUUAGUUUUUUUUAUUUGUUCAUUUCCCACUUAAAAUUAUUUUUUUAAUUUUUUAUUUAGUAUUAUUAUUUUUUCUAUUUAAAAGGAAUAAUUUUUUUUUUAUUUAGUAUUAAUUGAAUUUUCUAGUUUUUUUUUCUAUAUAAAGGGUUGUAAUAGACUUUUAACAAGUCAUACUUGGAUGAAGUAAAAUUAAAUAUUUUAGGUAUCUUUCCAUGGUUAUUUUUGCACCCAAUGUUGUGACGACCUUAAAAAAAAUAUAUAUAUUUCUAGCAUCUUGUUAUUUUAAUGAGAAAAAAAGUCUUGUUUAUGAAGUCGCCACCUAGUAUUAUGGUUACUAGAAACCCUAACUGAUCAAUAAAAAUUCAAUGAAAAAUGAUUGUUUAUGUUAAAAAAAAGAUACUAUCAUCCCUAAAAUGAGCUACCAUCUAAUAUUUUUGACUCUGACAUCAAUGAGUAUUUAAGGGUUAAUAUCCCUGACUCUAGCGUUGAUGAAUAUUAGAGUUAAUAUCCCUAACUCUAUUGUCAAUAAAUAUUAGGGCUAAUAGUCCCGACUCUGGCGUCAAUGAUUAUUGAAGGUAAUACUAUUAGUUCUGGUAUUAGUGAAUAUUGAAGGUUAAUACUAGUUGUGAAUUCAUUUACAUCAAACAAUCUCGGGUUGGGUUCUAAAAUGAGCAUUGGAUCUGCAUCAAUGAAAAAUAGUAGACUUUGACCUUUUUAUAUAUAAAAAAAAAAGACUUGUAAUUUAUCAAUUUUCAUCAUUUUAUUUUUCAAACAAAAAGGUUUUAAGUUUUUGUUUUUAUAUGUAGGCUCAAUAGGCCAUUUUAUUUAGCACAAGUUUUUAAUGAACAUGAUAAGCUUAUUAUAAAACUUAAAAAUGCAUGUAAUAUAAAUACAUAUUUUUUAUAAUUAGGAUAUUCUAGGUCUUUAUACAUAUUUUUUAUAUAAAGAAUUGUUAUAGUUUUUUGACAAAUAAUACUAGAAAGAGCUAAAAUUAAAUACUUUAGAUGUCUUUCCAUAAUUAGGAUAUUAUAGGUCUUUGACUUGAAACAAUUUUUUUGUUUUUAUCAUUUGCUCGUAACUAUGUUAAUUAGUAUUAAAACCCAAUAAUUUCUAAUAAUUUUUUAUUAUGUGAUGUUAUUAAAAAAUUUAAUGGUUAGACUACUCGUAUAAAAAUAUGCAUGAAAAUCUCAUGAUGAGGCAAUCCACAGACAAAACGACACGAUCAUUGAGUUUCAAUAAGAUGCACCAAAAACGUGUUCAUUCUGACUGAUAUCUAUGUAUGAAUGAAUCUUGGCUUAUUAAAUAAAACAACGUUUUUUACUAAGAUAUUAAAUAAAACUUAUUAAAACUUUCCAACUAAGAUACCGUAAUUUUCUUUGUCUAACACCCGUGGUCUGUUGACGAGACUUUUCCUUUCUAAGAUUCCAAAAACAACCUUUUUUCUCUUCAUUGUCAAUUUCUUAUGUUAUUAUCUCGUAUUUAAAAAUUACAAAAAAAUUAAAAUAUAAAUUUAUAAGACUCGAUUGAAAAUAAAUUAUUAUCAAAGUACUAAUUAAAAAAUAUACCCAUGGUUUUCCAGCCCAAUAAAGCUUAUAUCAGUCGCAAGGUUAUGUUUUUCAACCAUAGUUAUUAAAUUUAGUUUAAAUUAACUAAUUUAUUUGAAAAACUUAAAACUUAAAUUAAUAUCAAUGUACUAAUUAAAAAAAUACACCCACGGUUUUCCAGCUCAAUAAAACUGAAAUUAAUUACAAGUUUACUUUUUUCAAAUAUAGUUAUUAAAACUUAGUCUACUUAGAUAAAUUGAUUUAAAAAACAUAACACUUAAUUAACCAGGCUUGGGUUUUUAAUUGAAUCGGGCUAGGUAUUAAAUAUAUAAAACUUAAUUUAUUCGGUUAAACCCAAUUCUAAUAUAACAAAGCUUAACACUAUAAUUUUUAUUUUAAAAAAACAAAAUAAUAUUAUUUUAACUAAAAUAAUUUACGCGAUAACUUAUAAAUUAACGUAAUUACAUGAUAAUUCAGAUACUUUUUCAGGUUAUUUAUCAGAUUCCCGAGAUCAAAUAUGAUAACUACGUUCCAACUGCUUCAUUGGACUGUUUUUGUAAACAUCUAUGUGCUUGUAGCCGUUGAAAUUCUUAAAUUAAAUGCAUGUACAUGGUUAACUGCCAGCAAAGCCAUGACAUCACUCUAAUUCUAGAACUUCAAGAUUUAUAUUUCAAACAAGAUCAUGAUCAACUUCGACGCAUCCCAAGGAGACCACCGUUGUUCACAACAAGAAACAAAAAUUUCUAGCAAAGAAUGAAGAAAGCAGAGGUGGUGCUAAUCCCCUUACCUGCUAUGGGCCAUAAAGUAGCAGUAGUGGAGAUAGCUAAGCUUCUUGUUCAACGUGAUGAUCGAAUUUACACAACUGUCUUGGUAAUGCAUCCAACUGUUGACCCCAGCACUACCACGUUCAAUGAGUCACUGGCUGCAUCAACUCUCCCUGAUCGUAUGCGAGUCAUUAACUUGCCCAGAGUUGAGUCCAUAACAUCAGAUACUAAACCCAAUAACUGGCUUAGUGCUUUGUGUCACGGGGUCAAUUUUUCGUCCCAAAAACAGACCUCACACGGCAGUCUAGUCCCGCUAGACUCAGCCUUUCCCUCGCCUAUUCACUCGUGUUUUGCCUACGAGUAGUUUGUCCCACAAACCCAAGAGAUCCCCACACUCUUUCAAUGUCACAAGCAAGCAGAAUAACACAACUGAAUAUGAACAGAAUAAACAACACAGCAAUUUACAGAAACAAGUCUCAACCUUUUCAUUAACUCAACUAAAGGAUUACACAAAGUUCUUCUUGUGUGCUAUCCCCAUUUCCGUUCCCCGCAUGCUACACAUUUUACAGCCUAUCUAUUUACAAGAUAAUGAAAGUUACAAGUAUAAACUACCCCUAACUCCCUGCACAGCUGGAGCACCCAUUAUCCCAUGUUCUGGCCAACUUCUUCCCCACAUAAGAACUGUCGCAACUGCAUUGGUAUGUUCUCCCACAAGCCAACUGCCCACUGCCAGCACACAUGCUGCCAGCGUAACUGUCUUGCAUGCCUUGGACCGUCCGCUGUCCAAGUUAUUGUCAGCCCCUGCUGCUGAUUUUGUCGACGUUGCCGAACAUCAACCAUGCCCUGCCGAAUCGUUGACGCACACUGUUGCCGAAUCUGCCAAAACCCAUGCACGAUGCCAUUGUCGAUGCAUGCUGCCAUUCCUGCCAGUAGCGUUUACGUCAAGUCUAGGACUGCCUAUUGUCCAGAUUCAUCGUCAGCCCUUGUUGCCGAUUUUGUCGACGUUGCUGAAUUCCUCGACGCUGCCGAUCUCACCAGUGCUGCCGAAUUUCCCACUGUCCCAUUGUGUCAUCCCAGCACUGUUUCGUCAAGCAUUGGACAAUCCUCGCCCAAGCCCCAACUCUCGUCAGCAUACUGCUACGCUAACUGUUGUGUGCUGCCGCACACACACUCUGCCAAUUUUCGCUACUGUCACGCGAGCUACCACCCCGUAGCUGCUGUCCAGCAAUGCUUUUCGUCAGCCUACACCCUGACGGAUUUUAAUCCUGUUACACUUUGGUUGAAGGGCAAAAACCCCACGUCAAAGAAUAUGUUUCAAAGAUAAGAACUCAGUCUGAAUUGAGCCUUGAUGCUCCUCGCCUAGCUGGGUUUAUUUUUUAUUCUUUUGUUACAGGACUGAAAGAAGUGGCCAAUGAAUUUGGGUUACCAUGGUAUGCUUUUUCUGCUUCGGGUGCAGCUUUUCUUGGUUGUUUAUUGCAUCUUCAGGCUCUUCAUGAUGAGCAGGGAGCGGACCUGACUGAAUUCAAGAACUCGGAUGUCGAGUUGAGUAUCCCGAGUUUGGUGAACCCAUUUCCCGCUAAACUUCUGCCUUCUGUACUGUUUGAGAAAGAUUCGCUUACUACUGUUCUUGAGCAACCAAGAGCAUUGGCCGAAGCCAGAGGUAUUUUGGUAAAUACAUUUUUGGAGUUUGAAUCCCAUGCGGUCAACUCUCUUUCUAAUGGCAGGACCCCUCCAAUAUAUCCAGUGGGACCGAUUGUUAAACAUAAAAGAGACGGUCAUGAUGUGGGUUCGGAAGGGAGCAACAAUUACAGAAACAUUAUUGAAUGGCUUGAUGAUCAGCCUCCAUCAUCAGUUUUGUUUUUGUGCUUUGGAAGUGGUGGAAGUUUUAGGGAGAAACAGGUGAAAGAGAUUGCUUGCGCCCUAGAGAAGUGUGGGCAUCGAUUCUUAUGGUCCCUACGUAAACCUCCACCGAGAGGAAAGUGGGAGUAUUCACCGAGUGAUUAUGCAAAUUUUCAAGAAAUCUUACCGAAAGAGUUUUUAAACCGGACAGCUAAGAUUGGGAAAGUAAUCGGAUGGGCUCCACAGGUAGACAUAUUGGCUCAUCCAGCCAUAGGAAUGUUUGCUUCGCAUUGUGGAUGGAAUUCUAUACUAGAAAGUAUAAGGUUUGGUGUUCCAAUUGUCGCCUGGCCAUUAUAUGCAGAGCAACAGUUCAAUGCCUUCCAAAUGGUAAUUGAGUUGGGAUUAGCCGUGGAAAUUAAAAUGGAUUGUAGGAAGAAUUCUCAUGGUGAUAACGAAAUAAAUGUGAGUGCUGAUGGUAUAAUGAAAGCAAUAAAGCAUGUGAUGGAGCAAGGUAAAGAAAUAAGAAAGAAGGUAAAAGAGAUGAGCAGAAUAGGUGAGAAAACCUUGAUGGCCGGUGGAUGUUCGUAUUCAUCUUUGGGUCGUUUAGUCGAUGAUAUAAUUAUAGACAACCAGCCAUGAAGCAACUGUUCCAAACUAUCCUCGGAGCGAUUACUUACAAUAAGCAAUUAUGAUUUAUCUACAAGAAUCUAUGUAUUAAGAAUGUUAGUCGCGGCCAAUAAAUUUAAUCUUUCCUUUCUUUAGGAGAAAAAUAUUUUUGUAAUCUCUUGUUUUGUAUUGGAAAAUAAUUUUACCAACUAAUGAGAUUCUAAAUCCUCGAAAGCAUUUGAACUUCCAAGUUAGAGGCGAGGUGGCUUAUGGUUUUAUGCUAGAAUGUGUUUGAAACGGUUGUGGACUUGCAACCCUGAUAGGUUGCGAGGUCUCUUAAUAAUAAAGUUAGUAGAGAAGGAAGGGUGUAUGUGUGUUUUAAGGUUGAGGGAGUUGUUUAUUUAGAUAUUUAGACCCUUUAUAUGAGUUCAUAGAUGUUUAUAUAACCAUGAGACAUACCAACCCUUUAUAUGUGAGUUCAUAGAUGUUACUUAACUAUAAGACAUGCAACUUGCAUAGAAACAAGAACAUAAUAGAAAAAAAAAAACAUUUCUGAACAUACCAUUAGGUACCAUCAUUCAGUUAAGUACCGUUGAUCGGGACCAAUCACCAACCAAUUAUCCACACACAUGAUCCUCAACCAAUUAUUCGAUCAUAUUACAUUAUCCAAAGGAAAUUAAGAAAAAAAAACUUGUUUUAGAUCUAAGAACAACCUACUAGAUCUGUCGGAGUCGCCAACAAUUGUUGGAUCAAAACAGCACAGAAUCGACGCGUGAUGGUCAUGCGCUGACAGUUUAAAAUUCAAUCUUUUUACAUUAUCGGAUACUUAUUUAAAAUAUACUUGCUUCUUGUAUUGUUAACUAGUAUUUCAAUAUUAAAAAAACAAUAUAUCAAAAAUAAAUUUAAAGUAAUGCAUCGAGCUAGAUAUACUCAUCAAAAAAACAUACCCACGAUUUUAGAGUUCAUUGAUUAGGUUACAAGUUUAUUUUUUCCAACUGCUCCGUUGGACUGUUUUUUGUAAACAUCUAUGGGCUACUAGCUAGCCGUAGAAAUUCUUAAUUUAAAGCAUGUAUAUGGUUCAUUGCCAGAACAGCCAUGACAUCAGCCUUUAGGUCUAGACCUUCAUUAUAUAUUUCGUUCAAGAUCGUGAUCAGUUCCACACAUCCUAAGUAGUCCACAUUUGUUCACAGCAAGAAACAAACAUUUCUAGCUAAGAAUGAAGAAAGCAGAGGUGGUACUAAUCCCCUUACCUGCUAUGGGCCAUAUUGUAGCAGUAGUGGAGAUGGCUAAGCUUCUUGUUCAACGUGAUGAUCGCCUAUCCACAACUGUCUUCGUAAUGCAUCCAACUCUUGAUCCUAGCACCACCAAAUAUACUGAAACACUUGCUGUCUCAACUCUCCCUGAUCGUAUGCGAGUCAUUAACUUGCCCAGUCUUGAGUCCAUAACAUCUGCUACCAAAGGUCGUCACAGCUGGCUAACGUGUUUGAUAGAAGGCCAAAAAUCUCAUGUCAAAGAAUAUGUAUCCAAGAUUAGAACUCGGUACGAGUUGAAUCCGGAUUCUCCUCGACUUGCUGGGUUCAUUUUCGAUAUUUUUGCUACUGGGAUGAAAGAUGUGCCUAAUGAAUUUGGAGUUCCAUGGUAUGUUUUUUCUGCUUCAAGUGCAGCUUCUAUUGGCAGCAUGAUGCAUCUUACUGCUCUUCAUGAUGAGCAGGGAGUUGACCUUACCGGGUUGAAGAACUCAGAGGAUGAAUUGGAAAUUCCGUGUUUGGCGAACCCAAUUCCUGCUAAACUUGUGCCUUCC